rnacentral:misc_RNA from 1 species
CUGUUGCCCCCACUAGUUGUUUGCAUAAUCCAUUUGAACAUGUAACUUUGCAUGUGUUAUGGGACCGCUAAUUGGACAAAUUGAAGCCACAUUACUAUUCAUCUGAUUCAAUUAUAAAUGGUGUCAGUGUUUGGUUCUCAUGUAUUUUCUUUUGUUGCCUCCAUAAUCUGUUGUUUAUACUGAUCUCCUACAUUCUCGCCUGCAG